rnacentral:lncRNA from 1 species
GCUGGGGAGGCCAGGCGACUGGGCCCGGUUGCCAAGGCGACGGCGGCGGCCGUCUAGCCCCUGCUGGCUCAGCUCCGCCUUCUUAGAUGCUUUACGCAACCAAUCACGAAUCGUGCUCCAUGGGAAACGUCGGCUCCCACGGAAAGCUGGAGACCAACAUCCCAUGGACAGAGGAGCCUGGCAGGCUACGGUCCACAGGAUCAAAAAGAAUUGGACAGGACUUGGCACACAGCACAACAGUGGUUUGCCAACUUUUUUUCUUCUUUAGAUCCUUCUUUGUUGUCGUUUAAAUGGAAGUAAGCACUUCUCUGGUGGUUCAGUGGUUAAGAUUCCCUGUUUCCAAUGUAGGAGGCAUGUGUUCGAUCCCUGGUUGGGGAACUAAGAUCCCACAUGCUGUGCAGCAUGGUAAAAAUUUUUUCAGUUAAAAUAUUAAAAAAAAAAAAAAACAAAUAGAAGUAUAGUUGAUUUAUAGUGUUGUUAGUUUCUGGUAUAGUCUUCCCUGGUGGCUCAGACAGUAAACGCUCUGCCUGCAAUGCAGGAGACCCAGGGUUUAAUCCCUGGGUUGCGAAGAUCCCCUGGAGAAGGAAAUGGGAACUCGCGCCAGUAUUCUUGCUUGGAGAAUUCUAUGGACAGAGGAGCCUGAUAGGCUGUAGUUCAUGGGGUCGCAAAGAGUCAGACACGACUGAGCACCUAACACUUCUUUUUGGUAUAUAGCAAAGUGAUUCUGUUACAUAUAUGUAUAUAUGUAUUUCUUUUUCAGAUUCUUUUCCGUUAUAAUUCAUUAUAAGACACUAUAUAUAGUUCCCUAUGCUAUAUAGUAGGACCUUGUUGUUUAUUUUAUAUAUAAUGGUGCAUAUAUAUUAAUCCCAAAAUUUCUAAUUUAUCCCUAUUUCCUCAUCCCCUCUUUGGUAACCAUAAAGUUUGUUUUCGAUGACUGUGGGUAGGUUUUGUAAAUAAGUCCACGUGUAUCAUUUUUGAGAGUCCACAUAUAAGUGAUAUGUGGUAUUUGUCUUUCUCUAACUUCCUUCACUUAGUUUGAUCUCUAGGUCCAUGCCUGUUGCUGCAAAUGGCUUUAUUUCAUUCUUUUAUAUGCUGAGUAAUAUUCCAUUGUAUAUAUGAACCGUAUCUUUAUCUGUUCAUCUGUCGAUGGACAUUCUGGUUGUUUUCGUGUCUUGGCUUUUGUAAAUAGUGCUGUAAUGAACAUUGGGGUACAUGAAUCUUUUCAAAUUAGUUUUCUCCAGAUAUUUGUGCAGG